rnacentral:piRNA from 1 species
AGAGACCAGGCUGGUUUCGAACUCAGAGA